CCUACGGGUGGCAGCAGUGGGGAAUAUUGCACAAUGGGCGCAAGCCUGAUGCAGCCAUGCCGCGUGUGUGAAGAAGGCCUUCGGGUUGUAAAGCACUUUCAGCGGGGAGGAAGGCGUUAAGGUUAAUAACCUUGUCGAUUGACGUUACCCGCAGAAGAAGCACCGGCUAACUCCGUGCCAGCAGCCGCGGUAAUACGGAGGGUGCAAGCGUUAAUCGGAAUUACUGGGCGUAAAGCGCACGCAGGCGGUCUGUCAAGUCGGAUGUGAAAUCCCCGGGCUCAACCUGGGAACUGCAUUCGAAACUGGCAGGCUAGAGUCGUGUAGAGGGGGGUAGAAUUCCAGGUGUAGCGGUGAAAUGCGUAGAGAUCUGGAGGAAUACCGGUGGCGAAGGCGGCCCCCUGGACAAAGACUGACGCUCAGGUGCGAGAGCGUGGGGAGCAAACAGGAUUAGAUACCCGAGUAGUC
rnacentral:rRNA from 1 species